rnacentral:rRNA from 1 species
AGCGAACGCUGGCGGCAGGCCUAACACAUGCAAGUCGAACGGAUCCUUCGGGAUUAGUGGCGGACGGGUGAGUAACACGUGGGAACGUGCCCUUUGGUUCGGAACAACUCAGGGAAACUUGAGCUAAUACCGGAUGUGCCCUUCGGGGGAAAGAUUUAUCGCCAUUGGAGCGGCCCGCGUCUGAUUAGCUAGUUGGUGAGGUAACGGCCCACCAAGGCGACGAUCAGUAGCUGGUCUGAGAGGAUGAUCAGCCACACUGGGACUGAGACACGGCCCAGACUCCUACGGGAGGCAGCAGUGGGGAAUCUUGCGCAAUGGGCGAAAGCCUGACGCAGCCAUGCCGCGUGAAUGAUGAAGAUCUUAGGAUUGUAAAAUUCUUUCAGCGGGGACGAUAAUGACGGUACCCGCAGAAGAAGCUCCGGCUAACUUCGUG